AUUGAACGCUGGCGGCAGGCCUAACACAUGCAAGUCGAGCGGCGGGGCGGACGGGUGAGUAAUGUCUGGGAAACUGUCUGAUGGAGAGGGAUAACUACUGGAAAAGGUAGCUCUUACAGCAUACCCUCAGAUAUGACCCGAUGGGAUUAGCUAGUAGGUGGGGUAACGGCUCACCAAGGCGACGAUCCGUAACUGUUCUGAGAGGAUGAUCAGUCACACUGGGACUGAGACACGGUCCAGACUCCGACGGGAGGCAGCAGUGGGGAAUAUUGGACAAUGGGCGAAAGCCUGAUGCAGCCAUGCCGCGUGUGUGAAGAAGGUCUUCGGAUUGUAAAACACUUUAAGGUGGGAGGCGUUACCAGCAGAAUAAGCACCGGCUAACUUCGUGCCAGCAGCCGCGGUAAUUC
rnacentral:rRNA from 1 species